rnacentral:lncRNA from 1 species
UGUGUCAGUAAGAGUAUCCGCAAUUGAAGAUAAAAUGACAGAAAAUCAAUUAAGAUAGUUUGAAUACAUGAACUGAAGACGUACAGAUACUUCGGUUAGAAGAUGCAAUUGUGAAACGAGGGCUUAGGGCAAAAUGGGUAGAGAUUGUAAGAAAAUAUAUGAAAUACUUGAAGCUAACAGAAGAUUUGAUGCAAAAUCGAGCACAAUAAUGUUUUAUGAUUCAUACAAUAGACUUGAUUUAGUGAAAUAAAGUUUGGUUAUGGUUUUUGUUUUUGUUCUGUUGCGUGCUGGUGUGAUAAUCUUCGGGGCCCAAUCAACGUAAAAAGAUCUCCCUUAACAAAAACCCAAAAAGAUCUACAUGUUGAGCAGUGUGUGAGCCACACAUAUUGAUCACUUGGUCAGAAAAUUGAGUUCUUUCUGGUGCCAAUUAUUUAUUUAUUUAUUUAUUUUUGUUACUUUGUAAAAGAAAAGUCUUAAAUUCGAAUUUUUUUUUCAAUAUAAAGUUUUAACUUGUUGAAACCUAAAUAAAAUGUUGAUAUUUUUAUUUUUUCUAUUAGACCACU